rnacentral:rRNA from 1 species
UACGUAGGGGGCAAGCGUUGUCCGGAAUCAUUGGGCGUAAAGCGCGCGUAGGCGGCCCGGUAAGUCCGCUCUGAAAGUCCAGGGCUUAACCCUGGAAAGCGGGUGGAUACUGCCGGGCUAGAAUCCGGAAGAGGCGAGGUGGAAUUCCUGGUGUAGCGGUGGAAUGCGCAGAUAUCAGGAGGAACACCAAUAGCGAAGGCAGCUCGCUGGGACGGUACUGACGCGUGAGACGCGAAAGCGUGGGGAGCGAACAGG